ACAAAACAGUACGGAAGGCCGCAGGGACCUCUACCUAGGAAAACCAGAAGAAGUCAUCUACCAGGUUGUGAGGACAUACAAACAGCCUUUGGAGAGGCCCACGUGGGAAGAAACAGAUCUCUCAUUAACUACCAGCACCACCUUGCCAGCCUUGUGACUGUAUCUCCUUGAAAGUAGACCUUCCACCUGCAGUCAAUUUUGAUGUUGCAGCCCCAGCUGACAUCUUGACUACAGCCUCACGAGAUGCACUGGGCCAGAACCUCCCAGCUCCGCCAUUCCAGAAUUCAUGAUCUACACAAACCGUGAGUUUGAGAAAUGUUUGUUAUUGUUUAAUUUUGCAGUUUUGGGGAAAUAUAAUUAAUAUACAUACAUUUUGCUAUUUUAAAGUGUAUAGUUCAGUGAUUUUUAGUUUAUUCAUUAUUAUUCGACAAUUACCACGAUCUCAUUCCAGAACAUUUCCAUUAACCCAAAAUGAUACCCCAUACCUCUUAGCAGUUACUGUCGGUUCUCCCUACUUCGUG
rnacentral:lncRNA from 1 species